UGAACGCUAGCGGCAGGCUUAACACAUGCAAGUCGAGGGGUAAGAUAGCAAUAUCUGAGACCGGCGCACGGGUGCGUAACGCGUAUGCAAUCUACCUUAUACAGAGGGAUAGCCCAGAGAAAUUUGGAUUAAUACCUCAUAGUGUUAUUGAGUGGCAUCACUUAAUAACUAAAGUUCCAACGGUAUAAGAUGAGCAUGCGUCCUAUUAGCUAGAUGGUAAGGUAACGGCUUACCGAUGGCUACGAUAGGUAGGGGUCCUGAGAGGGAGAUCCCCCCACACUGGUACUGAGACACGGACCAGACUCCUACGGGAGGCAGCAGUGAGGAAUAUUGGACAAUGGGCGCAAGCCUGAUCCAGCCAUGCCGCGUGCAGGAAGACGCAUCUAUAGUGUGUAAACUGCUUUUGUACGGGAAGAACACUCCUACGUGUAGGAGCUUGACGGUACCGUAAGAAUAAGGAUCGGCUAACUCCGUGCCA
rnacentral:rRNA from 1 species